UGAACCAGCGGAGGGAUCAUUAC
rnacentral:rRNA from 1 species